AGGGCCACAUAACAAUGAAGGAAGAGGGAGUGGUUUGAAGAGGGAGUGGAGAAGAUGAGGUCACAGUGCCAGCACUGGGGAGAAGACAGCUGCAUCUGUCAAGAGAAAACCAAGAACAUGAUUUUAGGUUCAAUGAGAAAGUCAUUGAAGAGAUACCACUGCUGGUGGGUAACACCCUGUGGAGAUACAAAGAAAUGAUUGGAUGGCUAUGGCUUACUCACAAGAUACAGGCAGAUCUGCGACUCCAUUUUGGCCACUACCCCACUACCUCACUCACCUCCUUGCGCUGGUGUUUUUCAACAACCUGAAUCUCAUCCCCAUCAGUCCAAUUGCAAACAUCCAGUCCUUUGUUCUUGGUCAUCUUCAUUCGAAUGGAGAAAGGAAGCCAGACAUUCUUCAACUCUUCAAUGGAAGGACACAUCAGCAUGCCCUCUGGACUCCCCAGUUCCUUCCUAUUAGGACAGAAGAAUUGGGAAUCUGUUUUGAAGAGUUCUAGCCAGUGGCAGGAAGAGUCACUGCUUAGUUCAGUUCUCUGACAGUUGCUAAGACAGAACCUACCAGUCAGCUAAAGCAAACUCCUUGUUCUUGGAGACUUCCCCACCGUGUUUCUUUAUUGCCGUCUUGAAGGCAACCUGAUCAAAAAGCAGAAAAUAUGUAAUUCCUCAGGAAUAUUAAUCAUAUAUGGAGGUCAGAAACAAACUAAAAUGUAGUCAUUAAGUCCUA